rnacentral:lncRNA from 1 species
GAAGACGGCGAGAUUCAAGGGCAUCAACCAUUGAAGAUGAAAAUCUCCUAAUUCUUUGUAAUGUUUAAUUUCCACACUAUGAUUUCUUUGAAUACUAUGAAAGGCUAAACCCCCCAAUGCUUGGGGGGUCGUCCUGAUUUGAUCUUAUGUUAUGAAUUCGAACCAUGGAUUUUCUUAUUACUAUGUUACGUAUUUCAAUUCAAUUGUGUGAUGUUAUAAUGCUUUUGUAUCGGACAAAUACAAUUAGAUCUAUGACUAUCAAUAACAGGAUUGUG